UACGGGGGGGGCGAGCGUUGUUCGGAAUUACUGGGCGUAAAGGGUUUGUAGGUGGCCUGCUAAGUCGAACGUGAAAUCCCCGGGCUCAACCCGGGAACUGCGUCCGAUACUGGCAGGCUUGAAUCCGGGAGAGGGAUGUGGAAUUCCAGGUGUAGCGGUGAAAUGCGUAGAUAUCUGGAGGAACACCGGUGGCGAAGGCGGCAUCCUGGACCGGUAUUGACGCUGAUGCGCGAAAGCCAGGGGAGCAAACGGG
rnacentral:rRNA from 1 species